GUUCCUCAUUUCUGUCAGACAAGACGACGAAUCGGUUGGAGUGAACAAGUGCAUUAUUGGUGUUUUAUGAAUUCACAGGCUCAGCUACUCAUUUGAUGAAGUGGACUUGUGGAAGUGCUGAAAAAAGACCUAGAUCACCAGCAGAUAGAUAACCUGAUGUCUGACACGUUCUCCAAGCGCAGAAAGGAGAUCGUAGGGGAUCAACCUCUCAUUGGGGAUGUCAUGGCUAGAUGGCCGGCCAUGUUCUGUGAGAGACAGGUUCGGGCAGAGUUCAAAAGAGUCGUAAGCACAGACCUUCUCGAAU